UAGGGAAUAUUGGGCAAUGGAGGGAACUCUGACCCAGCCAUGCCGCGUGCAGGAUGAAGGCGUUAUGCGUUGUAAACUGCUUUUAUAUAGGAAGAAAUAGUCCUUGCGAGGAAAGUUGACGGUACUAUAUGAAUAAGCACCGGCUAACUCCGUGCCAGCAGCCGCGGUAAUACGGAGGGUGCAAGCGUUGUCCGGAUUUAUUGGGUUUAAAGGGUGCGUAGGCGGUUUAUUAAGUCAGUGGUGAAAGACGGUCGCUCAACGAUUGCAGUGCCAUUGAUACUGGUAGACUUGAGUAUGAUUGAGGUAGCUGGAAUGGAUAGUGUAGCGGUGAAAUGCAUAGAUAUUAUCCAGAACACCAAUUGCGUAGGCAAGUUACUAAGUCAUAACUGACGCUGAGGCACGAAAGUGUGGGUAUCGAAACAGGAUUAGAUACCCCAGUAGUCCCUGAGCGGGCUGGCAAGGCGCAU
rnacentral:rRNA from 1 species